UUGUUGGUAAGGUAAAAGCUUACCAAGGCUUCGAUCAGUAGCUGGUCUGAGAGGACGGCCAGCCACACUGGGACUGAGACACGGCCCUGACUCCUACGGGAGGCAGCAGUGGGGAAUUUUGGACAAUGGGGGCAACCCUGAUCCAGCCAUGCCGCGUGAGUGAAGAAGGCCUUCGGGUUGUAAAGCUCUUUCAGCCGGAACGAAACAGUUACGGUUAAUACCCGUGACUACUGACGGUACCGGAAGAAGAAGCACCGGCUAACUACGUGCCAGCAGCCGCGGUAAUACGUAGGGUGCGAGCGUUAAUCGGAAUUACUGGGCGUAAAGCGCGCGCAGGUGGUUUUGUAAGUCAGAUGUGAAAGCCCCGGGCUCAACCUGGGAACUGCGUUUGAAACUACAAGACUAGAGUGUGGCAGAGGGGGGUGGAAUUCCGCGUGUAGCAGUGAAAUGCGUAGAGAUGUGGAGGAACACCGAUGGCGAAGGCAGCCCCCUGGGUCAACACUGGCGCUCAGGCACGAAAGCAUGGGGAGCAAACAGGAUUAGAUACCCUGGUAGUCCAUGCCCUAAACGAUGUCAACUAGUUGUCGGGCCUUUACGGGCUUGGUAACGUAGCUAACGCGUGAAGUUGACCGCCUGGGGAGUACGRUCGCAAGAUUAAAACUCAAAUGAAUUGACGGGGACCCGCACAAGCGGUGGAUUAUGUGGAUUAAUUCGAUGCAACGCGAAAAACCUUACCUACCCUUGACAUGUAUCGAAGCCCGCAGAAAAGCGGGGGUGCCCGAAAGGGAACGAUAACACAGGUGCUGCAUGGCUGUCGUCAGCUCGUGUCGUGAGAUGUUGGGUUAAGUCCCGCAACGAGCGCAACCCUUGUCAUUAAUUGCCAUCAUUUAGUUGGGCACUUUAAUGAGACUGCCGG
rnacentral:rRNA from 1 species